AGAAAAGGAACUAACACAAAAACAGGGAAAAUAGAAACCCUUGACAUUUCCUUCGUUGAGUUAUGCGAUUCAUCUCCUUCCUUCUUCUUUUUGUCUCUGUUCACAAUCCUUUCAUUCUUUCUCUUCCUCCUUCCAAUUCCACCAUAAAAUCUAUCUCAAUCUUCUCUUUGCUCUUUCUCUUUGAAUCAUUUCUCUUUUCUCUUUGUCUCUGAAUCACUCCACCCUUGCAACUCUUGAAUGAAUCGUUUAUGGUUUCUCCCAAAUCAGAAAAACACACCUAAUCGUUCCUAUUAUAUUCGCUCUUUCUCUCUGAAUCGUUCCUUUUCUCUCUUUCUCUCUGAUUUGUUCUAUUCCUUUCACACAAAGACUUCAUUUGAGGGCAAGAUUACAGGUUCGAAAGGUAUUAUUGAAGCUCUUUGUCAACCUAUGAGAUUCAAUUGAAGAUGUUGUUGCCUAAAUGUGAUUUUAAGAUGACAAGGAUUAAAAAGCAGUCAACAUUUUUGCAAGAUUGGAGCAAGAUUAUUGAGAGAAAAGUGAAGUAGUUUGCGGUGGGCACUUACUGGAUUUGUUGUUUAAAGCAUUGCAUUUGCUAUCAUUCCUCUUUUGGUAACAAUGAAAAUGAUGAUAAAUUAUUUCAAGUUGACGAUGAAGGUGAUGAAUUUGAAGAGGAUGACAUAGAUGACAAAUUUGAAGAGGACAACGUAGAUGCUAAAUAUGAAGAACACACACUUGAAUGGUUUAGAUGAUGAUGUUAGAUUAUGCUUUUUUGGACGAUGUUUUUUUACUAGGCAUGUACUUGAUUGAAGCAUCAAAACUUCAACAAACUAUAUAUUUUGCUAGACUUAAGUACUUUUAAGUAUUAAACUUUAUUUGAAUACUACCAUUUAUUUGUUUACUAUAUAUGUUACUAAUCUUAGACAAUUUGUUUAUUACCAUUUAUUUGAAUACAACUUUGUUAA